rnacentral:lncRNA from 1 species
AAAAAAGGUGCAAUGAGAGUGGAUGGUUUGCAAGUUUUCCUGACUCUGCGGCCGAGAGAAGGGAGAGCGGGGGGGGGGGGGAGCGCGCUGUUAGGGCAGUGAAUGCUAUCAGCACUCAGGCUGAGUGAGUUAGUCAAACCUAGGGAGGCCAGCCGACAACAACAACAACAAAGGAAUAAAGCUUGAUCAUAUUCCGCGGCAGUUGGUUGAGUUUAUCUUGAAGAACCAAACCUAGGGUUUUCUGUAAGCCCUCUCCUUACCACCCGUCAACCUGGAUAGUUUUUACUCAACGUUUUCAAAUCUUCCCCGAUCUAUCUCCAAGACGAAGCAAGUCUCAA